UCGAAUUUAUUGGUGAGGGUUGUAGCUGGCCUUUCGGGGCACGUGCACGCCCGAGCCCUUAACGUCCCAACACACCUGUGAACCCACCGUAGGCCUUCGGGCUUAUGUAUACCUUCAUAAACUCUGAAUGUGACAUAGAAUGUAAACUACAGUUUCGUCGCCCUAAAACGGCGGCGGAAAUAAUAUAAUAUA
rnacentral:misc_RNA from 1 species